GGUAACGGCUCACCAUGGCAAUGAUACGUAGCCGACCUGAGAGGGUAAUCGGCCACAUUGGGACUGAGACACGGCCCAAACUCCUACGGGAGGCAGCAGUAGGGAAUCUUCCACAAUGGACGAAAGUCUGAUGGAGCAACGCCGCGUGAGUGAAGAAGGGUUUCGGCUCGUAAAACUCUGUUGUUAAAGAAGAACAUAUCUGAGAGUAACUGUUCAGGUAUUGACGGUAUUUAACCAGAAAGCCACGGCUAACUACGUGCCAGCAGCCGCGGUAAUACGUAGGUGGCAAGCGUUGUCCGGAUUUAUUGGGCGUAAAGCGAGCGCAGGCGGUUUUUUAAGUCUGAUGUGAAAGCCUUCGGCUCAACCGAAGAAGUGCAUCGGAAACUGGGAAACUUGAGUGCAGAAGAGGACAGUGGAACUCCAUGUGUAGCGGUGAAAUGCGUAGAUAUAUGGAAGAACACCAGUGGCGAAGGCGGCUGUCUGGUCUGUAACUGACGCUGAGGCUCGAAAGUAUGGGUAGCAAACAGGAUUAGAUACCCUGGUAGUCCAUACCGUAAACGAUGAAUGCUAAGUGUUGGAGGGUUUCCGCCCUUCAGUGCUGCAGCUAACGCAUUAAGCAUUCCGCCUGGGGAGUACGGCCGCAAGGCUGAAACUCAAAGGAAUUGACGGGGGCCCGCACAAGCGGUGGAGCAUGUGGUUUAAUUCGAAGCUACGCGAAGAACCUUACCAGGUCUUGACAUACUAUGCAAAUCUAAGAGAUUAGACGUUCCCUUCGGGGACAUGGAUACAGGUGGUGCAUGGUUGUCGUCAGCUCGUGUCGUGAGAUGUUGGGUUAAGUCCCGCAACGAGCGCAACCCUUAUUAUCAGUUGCCAGCAUUAAGUUGGGCACUCUGGUGAGACUGCCGGUGACAAACCGGAGGAAGGUGGGGAUGACGUCAAAUCAUCAUGCCCCUUAUGACCUGGGCUACACACGUGCUACAAUGGAUGGUACAACGAGUUGCGAACUCGCGAGAGUAAGCUAAUCUCUUAAAGCCAUUCUCAGUUCGGAUUGUAGGCUGCAACUCGCCUACAUGAAGUCGGAAUCGCUAGUAAUCGCGGAUCAGCAUGCCGCGGUGAAUACGUUCCCGGGCCUUGUACACACCGCCCGUCACACCAUGAGAGUUUGUAACACCCAAAGUCGGUGGGGUAACCUUUUAGGAACCAGCCGCCUAAGGUGGGACAGAUGAUUAGGGUGAAGUCGUAACAAGGU
rnacentral:rRNA from 1 species